rnacentral:lncRNA from 1 species
UUCGACAAGUCCACGGUGCGAAGACUGGAGAAGGGUGACAAAGAUGGAAUCACUUUCAAGCCUGACCCGCAAAUGUGAGCCACUGUUGAUGAAGCGUUGAGAGAUAAGAUCACACUAUUGGCAUGUGCAAUGUCGUCAUCUAAACCACGCGCUACUAGUAACGUAUUUCUUGCAGGCGAAGGCGGAUAAUCAAUGAUGCCAUUCUCAGCAGCAGUCUCAGCUUCAGGUUGGGGUUGGAUCUCAACAUCCUGCACCCAUUGAUCUACUCUUGAUAAAAAAGCAUUUGCAACCCAGUGGUCUCUAGGCCACGCACCACCGACCUUACUUGCAUCAAAACCGUCCCAUUUUUGUUUGCCAAGGCGUGAGAAUUCGUCUGUUAUGGCUGUUGACUGAAAAUUGGUCGAUGUUGUACCGAUGCUUUGUUCGAGUGUAUCCGAAGUGUAUCCACCUUGUUGGUUUGAGACAGCUGGAAAUGGGUCUGGUUUUGCAGUGGAUGAUGGUUUAUGCAGGUUCCUGUGGCUCCAUAGGAACAACUUCC